rnacentral:lncRNA from 1 species
GAUUAGGAAGCUCGGGCUUCAGAAGGAACUCUGCAACGCUGACAGAGGCAAAAAUCUGCUAACUCAGGGGGCAGACUCAACCAAGACUGUGAGCAGGCCUGGGGAAUGACCCCCCGAUCUCCAACCAGUGCCUUCCGCAGCUGCACGGCUGUCUCCAGCUGUCUCUGCCCCUCUUCCUGGCCCUGGCUCCAUCUCUCUGUCACCUCACCCUUCCCUGUGCCACAUGGGCCCUCUCUCUCCUGCCAGGACGCUGCGGCUCUGGGGACCUCGGAGCCUGGGGGUGGCUCUGGGAGUCUUCAUGACCAUUGGCUUUGCACUCCAGCUCUUGGGAGGGCCCUUCCAGAGGAGGUACUUCAGGUCAUGCCUUCUGACAGCUUCUUUUUUUCCAUUGUCCGAGACCCAGCGGCUCUGGCUCGCUCUGCCUUCUCCUACUAUAAAUCCACCUCAUCAGCCUUCCGCAAGUCACCAUCUUUGGCUGCCUUCCUGGCCAAUCCUCGAGGCUUCUACAGGCCUGGGGCCCGUGGGGACCACUACGCUCGCAACUUACUAUGGUUUGACUUUGGCCUGCCCUUUCCCCCA